AAGCUCGGCGGGAUCUCCACGGGCGAGCGCAACACCCUGAUCGCCUUCGGUGUAGCGGUAACCCUCUGGAUCCUGCCCGGCAUCGUGAGCCUUAUCUUCGGCCAGGAAUCCGCGCCCGCGAGCUUUUUGAGAGAGCACCUGAACGAGGGGGUCGUGGCUAUACUCGCGGCGGCGCUUUUGUUCUUACUGCCGAUCAACUGGUCCGAGCGGCGCUUCACCCUCACCUGGAACGAGGCCGUCCGCAUAGAUUGGGGCACCAUCCUGCUCUUCGGCGCCGGCAUCACCCUCGGUCAGCUACUCUCCGACACGGGGCUCGCCAGGACCAGAGG
rnacentral:misc_RNA from 1 species